rnacentral:rRNA from 1 species
AUGCGCGCGACGGCCGCGGGGCCCUUCUUCCACGAGAAGCACUGGAGCGCGGCGGGGACGCGCUGCUCCUCCCCGCCCGCCUCCGCCUCGCCGUCCCCGUCCCCGUCCGCUGGCGCGCGCCGGCGCGGGGCGGGGUCGACCUCGUCGCAGGCGCAGACGCGGCACCCGCCGGCGCCGCCGAGGGGCAGGCGGAGGCAGCUCCUCCUCCCGCCGGACCUCCCUCGGCGCCCCCCUCCGUCACGCCGCUUGGUGGCGGCCAGGGCGCCGGGGUCGUCGUCCUCGGCGCGCAGCAGGGCGGAGAGGCUGUUGCUGCCGGAUCUCCGCAGCGCGGCCGCUCCAGACAUGGAUAGGUAG